rnacentral:rRNA from 1 species
CACGUAGGGCGCGAGCGUUGUCCGGAAUUAUUGGGCGUAAAGAGCUCGUAGGCGGUGUGUCGCGUCGGCCGUGAAAACCUGGGGCUUAACUCUGGGCUUGCGGUCGAUACGGGCAUCACUGGAGUUCGGCAGGGGAGACUGGAAUUCCUGGUGUAGCGGUGAAAUGCGCAGAUAUCAGGAGGAACACCGGUGGCGAAGGCGGGUCUCUGGGCCGAUACUGACGCUGAGGAGCGAAAGCGUGGGGAGCGAACAGG